UGGCUCAGGACGAUAUAAGCAGCUGUCCCUCAAAUCUAAUUCGCAACAGUGCAUUAAUAGCACAUAAUGGUUAUUGCUAGGAAUUCGUCAUUAAUCACAAUUUUGACUGGAGUCAUGAAAAUAGCGAUUGCACAUCUAAAGGCGGACAUCUUGUCGUAGUAAGAAGCAGUACUGACAACUUAUUCAUAAUGAGGUCACUACGGUCACUGAAUUUCCAAGGAGAUAUUGUAUGGAUAGGACUUUCCGACCAAAAAGUAGAAGGAAUUUAUGAAUGGCCAACAGGUAUGUAUGUUUGAGAGACAUAAGUAUGACAAAGACGGCAAUCACAUAAAACUUAUUUGUUAUUAAACAUAGGAUAGUGCUUUAAAAGAGGGACGAAAGAUACCAAAGGGACAGUCAACUCAUAUCUAAACAAACUCAACUCAUGCUAAAAAUGAAAAGACAAACAAAACAGCCACUGACACAACAUAGAAACUAAGAUAAUCACACGAACCCCACCAAAAAACUGGGGGUGAUCUCAGGUGCUCAAAUGUUAGUAUUAAUAAACUAUAUUCCUCAAUCUUAACACAUAUAAUACUCUGGUGACUCGAUAUGAAUUGGUUUCAUUAUCAUUGCACCAUAAACAUUAGGUUUGUCAUUAAAAUAUGUCUGCGCGUACACAUAUGUUACUUUAUUGUAGUUCAAAUAACACUCACAUAGUAUCAUUAGCUAAUUAUUAAGAUAAAAGGAAAACGGGGAUUUUAAAGAAACUCAUGAACAAAAAAAAACAAUUAUCGAUAAUUAUUCUUACCUUCGAAUACCCGAUAUUCCGAUGUUUACAGCUUUACAUUUGAAACGUGCUUUAGGUUUGUUGUGCCGAAUACUAAAAAAUCAGAUCUCCACAUUUCCCGUCAAUUUAAGUAUCACUAAUCAAGUCACAUCGUAUGUACAAACUUUUGUUUUUUUUCUCGAACAAUAUCAAACCGUCUCUUACAUAACGUUAUGCAUUCUUGGCAAUGUCCGCUAGAUGUGAUCUACACGUAGACACUGUUUAGUCAAAGUCAAGCUUACUUUGUUCUCUGAACCCGCCUUUUUCUCAGUAUACAGACGCAACUAUUUGUACUUGCAUCUGUAAUUGCAGUUCAUGAUAGUUUGAAUAUAAUAACAUGGUUCAAAUUGUUCUUUAAUGUCCAAAAAUAUACAAACUGUUUAAUUGUUUUACAUUGUCAUUUCGGCCUUUUAUAGCUGACUGUGCGGUAUGGGCUUUGUUGAUUGUUGAAGGUCGUACGGUGACCUAUAAUUGUUAAUUUCUGUGUCAUUUGUUCUCUUGUUGACAGUUGUCUCAUUGGCAAUCAUACCACAUCUCCUUUUUCUUGAAUGAUUAAUUUCAUUCAAUCAGUAACACAUUUAACAAUAAUUUUCUUUACCCGUCUCAUUUCCUGUUUACAAAACUUAGAAUUUAAAAAAAAAACUAAGAAUUUUCUUAUCCCAGGAAAAGAUGACCUUAGCCGUAUUUGGCACAACCUUUUGGAAUUUUGGGUCCUUAAUGCUCUUCAACUUUGUACUUAUUUGGCCUUAUAACUAUUUUGGUCUGAGCGUCACUGAUGGGUCUUAUGUAGAUACAACGCGCGUCUGGCGUAAUAAAUUGUAAUCCUGGUACCUUUGAUAACUAUUAACACCAGCCCAGUAGUCAGCACUUCGGUGUUAACAUGAAUAUCAAUUAUAUGGUCAUUUUUAUAAAUUUCCUGUUUACAAAGCAUUGAAUUUUUCAAAAAAACUAAGGAUUUUCUUAUCUCAGUCAUAGAUUACCUUGUAUGUAUUUGGCACAUUUUUGGGGAAUUUUGGGUCAUCAAUGCUCUUCAAUUUUGUACUUGUUUGGCUUUAUAACUAUUUUGAUCUGAACGUCACUGAUGAGUCUUAUAUGGAAGUCUGGCGAAUUAGAUUAUAAUCCUGGUACCUUUGAUAACUACAUUCGAGGAACUCUAGACUUUGUCAUGAAAUCUUAUGAUAGAUUUUCUUUUUCUAUUCUGUAUUUGUGCUAUUCAGUUUAUAUUUUUUUUCUUCAGAACUAUUUAUAUUUACUUUCCGUAAUGAUUUCCAUCUACUGCAGUUUGUCUACAAUUCCCGCGCUUAACUAAUUAAACUACUGGUGUUGUUCCCUACGUGAAUCCUUGUGAUAAAAAGUUCCAACCAAACCCCACGUUUAUCUUCAUUUGUCCAAUCGCUUACUUGACUAAAGAUCUGCUUGUAUUUGAAUUUCAUCCUGACUGAUAGAAUAUUCGAUGCCUCCACAAAAUGUUGAAUGAAAAUGAGAAUUGAAACGGGAAAUGUGUCAAAGAGACAACAGCCCGACCACAGAGCAGAACACAGCCGAAGGCCAUCAAUGGAUCUUCAAUACUGCAAGUUAAUCUUGCACCGGGUGGCGAGCUUCAGUAGCAUGUACUAUAGUGGUUGUUGUUUGUCGAUGUGUUACAUAUUUGUUUUUCAUUCAUUUUUUUGUACGUAAAUUAGAUCGUUAGUUUUUUUGUUUAAAUUUACAUUUGUCAUUGCGGGGCCUUUAUAGAUGACUUUGUUCAUUAUUGAAGGCCGUACAAUGACCUAUAGUUGUUAAUUUCUGAGUAAUUUGUCCUUUUGUGGAGAGUUGCCUAAUUGGCAUGCAUACCACAUCUUCAUUUUUAGACAUACUAAACUCCGAAAUAUAUUUUGAAAUUAAUUAAAAUUAAAGUAGCACUAAAACAAGCCAAAGGCUCCUAGCUCGGGACAUUUUUUAAAGUGUUAAAGUUGUUUUUUCGUGUUGGAAAUUUUGUUAUCCCGAAGUGACGGUAUUGUUGAUCCUUGUUGCAGCAUCGUUCUGCCUUUCAUAUCGAAACCCAAGAAUAUGUCAACCAGGUAUUUUUCAUUAUAUCAGACCUUUACUAUUGUACCUCAUAACUUGGGAAGAUCUGUUUGUCAUUUGUGGUUUUUUGUGAUAAAGGCUUCACUAGAUCGGAUUUAUCCACCGCAAUAUAUUUGAUUUAUAUAUCAAUUUAAGUCGUUUUAAUAAAACUAGGUAGUAAAUAAAAUUGGAAUUAAAUAUUUUUUAUAUAAAUAUAAAUCUGGUAUUUUUUCAAAUUUCACUAGAAUACUUCUGGGUAAGGUACUGUUAAUUUUUCUUCGACUUAUGUUUGUUUUUGUAACUUUUCAUUCCUUUCGAAGGAGAAGCCGUUACAUACACAAACUGGGCGUCCGGACAACCAGAUUUACAGGCAAUAACCGAGGACUGUGUCAUACUGAAGUACUCAGAUGGUGG
rnacentral:lncRNA from 1 species